CAAGGUUCUCAAAGACUGUUCGAAGCAUGCUAGCCUUGAGGCAAGACCUUCAGCUCUAUCUCCGCUGCACUGUCAGGGAUGGACAAACAGCUUUGUUUUGGUAUGAUUACUGGACGGAGCUAGGUCCUUUAUACCUAUUAUUCGGGAGCUCAGGGCCUGCAUCUCUUAGGAUCCCUCUAAAUGCAACUGUGUCGCAAGCUGUUCGUGAUGGACACUGGAACCUACCCCCUGCGCGAUCUGAAUAUGCCGAGACUCUUCAUGUUAUAUUAUCUACCAUGCCUGUCCCAUGUCAAGCAAAUGGUAGCGAUGUGUUCUUGUGGAGAAACAGAUCAGGUGGUUUUGGUACUUCUUUCUCCUCUUCUGUUACGUGGGAGAGGCUACGCAUUCCUAACCCGCUGGUUCAGUGGCACCCGGUGGUUUGGUUCAAAGAAGAGAUCCCCCGCUGUUCCUUCAUUGUUUGGACUGCUGUUCUUAAAAGACUUCCUACUAGGGAUAGGUUGAUUGCUUGGGGCAUAACUCUUCCACCAGAUUGUGUUCUUUGUCCUAAUGCUGUGGAAUCUCAUUCCCAUCUGUUCUUUGAGUGUUCCUAUGCUACUGUCAUUUGGAAUCGAUUUUGUGGCAGGUACUUGGCGGCUCCGCCUACCUCUGUAGCGGCGGUGACUGAUCUAUGCCGACAGCUGCAAGGGCCCCAUGCGUCUCGAGCUGUAGCGGUGCUGAAGCUUUUGAAUCAAGUUAUUAUCUACAACCUUUGGCGCGAACGAAAUGCCCGUAUCUUCAGAGAUGUUUCUAUGACUCAAGAGGCGUUCUUCAAAGUUGUGGAUCGUAGUAUGCGGGAUAGAUUGCUCUCUCUUCCGUCUCGGACUGCAGCCUCUCUUCCGUCUAGGACUGCAGCUUCACCCUCCCUCCUCGAAUUGUACUUCUGCUUCGUUUUCCCUUAUAGUUAAUCCAAUCCAAUCUCUCUAGAAUGCUUCUUGUCAGCCCUCUCUCUCUUUUAUUCUCUCCUUGCUGUUUGUUGUAAUAAGUUGUGUUUUUUUCACAACAUUGUAAAACUCAGAAAAUGGUUAUAAAUUUUAACAUUUAGACCAAAAAAAAGAUAUACGUAUGCUUUUGUUUGAAAGAAAAAGCACAAACAAAAACACAUGCUCUUCGUUGUAGCUUCCUUGGGUUAACACUUUUCUCCUGCUUUAGAAGUCAAAGCUCCAAAAAAAAGAAAAAAGAAACCGAGGUAUUUGUGGCUUCAAGAUUGAAUGUUCCUGGAGCAUGGCAGAUGCCACAGGGUGGCAUUGAGGAUGGAGAGGAUCCAAAGUCAGCAGCCAUGAGAGAGUUACAAGAAGAAACUGGGGUAGUUUCAGCUGCAAUCAUCGCUGAGGUUCCAAAUUGGUUGACAUAUGAUUUCCCACCGGCAGUAAAAGCAAAGGUUAACCGUCUGUGGGGCGGUGAAUGGUAUGGUCAGGCGCAGA